rnacentral:lncRNA from 1 species
GUGCUUUGUUAAACAAGUGCUUGAAGGCAGUAUGCUUGGUAAAAGUCAUCGCCAUUCUCUAAUCUUGAGUACCCAGGGACACGAUACACUGCGGAAGGCUGCAGGGACCUCUGCCCAGGAAAGCCAGGUGGUUUCCAAAAGGAAAAGCUUUGGGAGAUAGAAGUCCUCGUUUUGACCUCUGCCCUCCUUGUACACCAGGAGCCAGAAAAACUUCAUCUCUUUUACAAGAAACAUUGAGAUUCCUGUAAAAUUAAGAAAUCACACAAUUUGAUGGUCUACAUUAUCUAAAGCAAAUGAGACUUCUAUUUGGAACAAAGACUACCUUGUUGGGAAAUGAGUCUGCAAGUUAAAGUGUUUUCUGUUUUCUAAGGAUAAUGGUCUCCAGCUUCGUCAAUGUUCCUGCAAAGGACAUGAUGCUGACUUUGAAGAUGCAAGCUUCCACAUCUACAGCCUCAAGGAAACAAAUUCAGCCAACCAACUGAGGGAGCUUUCCUUGUCCUGCCUCAAGAUGAGAUCACAGUCUGCCCAACACCAUGAUUUAGGCCUUGUGACACCUGGUAUGGAAGACCCAGUUAAGUUCUCUCCAAACUCUUGACCCACAGAACCUGUGAGAAAAUAUAUGGAUAUUAUUUUAAACUGCUAAAUUUGUAGUAAUUUGUUAUGCAGCAAUAAAAAAAACUAAUGCAAGGAGAUAUCAAUUAUUGUAAAAAGCUUAGCUUUUGUUUUAAAAUAUAGUUCACCAGUAGUAAGUUACUAAUAAGUAACUAAACAAAUAAAAGCAAGCCAUUUACAAAUCAA